rnacentral:rRNA from 1 species
CAGUCGCCGCGGUAAUACGAAGGGUGCAAGCGUUACUCGGAAUUACUGGGCGUAAAGCGUGCGUAGGUGGUGGUUUAAGUCCGUUGUGAAAGCCCUGGGCUCAACCUGGGAAUUACAGUGGAUACUGGGUCACUAGAGUGUGGUAGAGGAUAGUGGAAUUUCCGGUGUAGCAGUGAAAUGCGUAGAGAUCGGAAGGAACAUCUGUGGCGAAGGCGACUAUCUGGGCCAACACUGACACUGAGGCACGAAAGCGUGGGGAGCAAACAGGAUUAGAUACCCCAGUAGUCCCUGUCUCUUAUAC